CACGUAGUUAGCCGUCCCUUUCUGGUAAGAUACCGUCACAGUGUGAACUUUCCACUCUCACACUCGUUCUUCUCUUACAACAGAGCUUUACGAUCCGAAAACCUUCUUCACUCACGCGGCGUUGCUCGGUCAGACUUUCGUCCAUUGCCGAAGAUUCCCUACUGCUGCCUCCCGUAGGAGUCUGGGCCGUGUCUCAGUCCCAGUGUGGCCGAUCACCCUCUCAGGUCGGCUAUGUAUCGUCGCCUUGGUGAGCCGUUACCCCACCAACUAGCUAAUACAACGCAGGUCCAUCUGGUAGUGAUGCAAUUGCACCUUUCAAACAGUUGUCAUGCAACAACUGUUAUUAUGCGGUAUUAGCUAUCGUUUCCAAUAGUUAUCCCCCACUACCAGGCAGGUUACCUACGCGUUACUCACCCGUUCGCAACUCAUCCAGAAGAGCAAGCUCCUCCUUCAGCGUUCUACUUGCAUGUAUUAGGCACGCCGCCAGCGUG
rnacentral:rRNA from 1 species